rnacentral:rRNA from 1 species
UACGUAGGGUGCAAGCGUUAUUCGGAAUGACUGGGCGUAAAGGGUGUGUAGGCGGUCUGCUAAGUCUGAUGUGAAAUCCCCGGGCUCAACCUGGGAACUGCGUUGGAAACUAGCAAACUAGAGUACGUAAGAGGGGGGUGGAAUUCCACGUGUAGCAGUGAAAUGCGUAGAGAUGUGGAGGAACACCGACGGCGAAGGCAGCCCCCUGGGACGAUACUGACGCUGAGGCACGAAAGCGUGGGGAGCAAACAGG